rnacentral:lncRNA from 1 species
ACGUGUCAGUGAAGGACCAUCUUCUUACUUCUCUGUGAGUCCCAGGUGCCCUGAAGCUGCUGGAGGCAGGAGGGUCUGGCAAGAGCAGAUGCUUAGAGACUAUUUAUUGCUUCAGCGCAUGGAUGGAUGGGUGGAUGGUUGGAUGGAUGGCCCGGCUGACCUCAGGCGGUGGCCCCGGAAGACGGCAGACCGGGCUGCGGGACGCGCUGUGGAGCGGUCAGCCCGAAGGCUGGACAGAGGCAGCAGGAGAGGAGGGCCUUGCGUGUGGGGGCCUCAGAGGCGCUGGCCACUCGCAGAUGGCCUCUGUUCCCUUCCAGGGCCACUGUCAAUUCAG